rnacentral:lncRNA from 1 species
AUAUUCGUUUUCCUUUCAAGUGCGAUCGAACGGUCCUGAUUUCAUCUGAUUGUGCAGUUCAGAUUCGUUUUCCCAUAUAGGAUUGAUCCAACAGCCAAGAAUGAGUCACAUCUCUUCGAAUGGAUGGCCCGGAUUUAAUGAAGAGGAGUAUUUAAACUCCUCUUCCAUAAGAAACCCUAACCCUGGCUGCCAAGAGUGA